rnacentral:rRNA from 1 species
AUCAAGCUACUAAGGGCUUGCGGUGGAUGCCUUGGUGCCAGGAGACGAUGAAGGGCGUGGCAGGCUGCGAUAAGCUUCGGGGAGUUGCAUAACAAACUGCGAUCCGGAGAUUCCCGAAUCGGGCAACCGAGCAGAUUAAUCUCUGCUACUCGUGUUUACACGAGAGAAAACCAGGAGAAGUGAAACAUCUCAGUACCCUGAGGAAAAGAAAGAAACCUCGAUUCCCCUAGUAGCGGCGAGCGAAAAGGGAAGAGCCCAAACCCGGUAUAUGUUCAAGCCUGAACGCGUUGUAUAUCGGGGGUUGCGGGGUUCGUCAUGUGUGGGUUCAGACACACAAGAAAUGGACGUGCAAUUAGUUUAAUGUUUCUGGAAAGAACGACCAGAGCGGGUAAAAGUCCCUUGAACGAAAGUUGUGACGCGUUUCUGAUGGAUACCCAAGUACCACGGGAUAGGGCGCAAAACCUGUGGGAAUCCAGGAGGACCACCUCCUAAGGCUAAAUACUCCCUGGCAACCGAUAGUGUACAAAGUACUGUGAAGGAAGUGGUGAAAAGUUCCCCCGCUAGGGAAGUGAAAAGUCCCUGAAACCGUAAAGCCUACAAUCUGUGGUAGUGCUAAGUCACGCAAGUGACAUGCAUGACCGCGUGCCUUUUGCAUAAUGAGCCGGUGACUUACUCUGUGUAGCCAGAUUAAACAUCUACGAUGUGGAGUCGUAGCGAAAGCGAGUCUGAAUAGGGCGUUUAGUUGCAUGGAGUAGACCCGAAACCAGGUGAUCUACCCAUAGGCAAGGUGAAGCAUAUGUAAAAAUAUGUGGAGGCCUGAACCCACCAAGG